GAACAUGCAAGGAAACGCUUCGUCAUCUGGACCGAAGAAAUCCUUUGGUAACGACCAGCGCAAGGAUGAGGGUGGAUCGAGUGCUGUGUACGCCCAGAGAGGACACGGUAGGGGUCGUUACUACCAGCACACUGCUGCAGUAACCAUCCCUGCUGGUAAUCGGGCAGUCCGACAGCAACCUCAGACUAAUCCCCAGAAGAUACAGGGAGCUGGGAGUCAAGUGAAAGGAAA
rnacentral:lncRNA from 1 species